rnacentral:rRNA from 1 species
CCGGCGCACGGGUGCGUAACGCGUAUACAAUCUACCUUUUGCUGAGGAAUAGCCCAGAGAAAUUUGGAUUAAUGCCUCAUAGUAUGCAGACUUCUCAUGGAGAUUGCAUUAAAGGUUACGGCAAAAGAUGAGUAUGCGUCCUAUUAGUUAGUUGGUGUGGUAACGGCACACCAAGACUACGAUAGGUAGGGGCCCUGAGAGGGGGAUCCCCCACACUGGUACUGAGACACGGACCAGACUCCUACGGGAGGCAGCAGUGAGGAAUAUUGGACAAUGGAGGCAACUCUGAUCCAGCCAUGCCGCGUGCAGGAAGACUGCCCUAUGGGUUGUAAACUGCUUUUAUACGGGAAGAAACACCCCCUCGUGAGGGGGCUUGACGGUACCGUAAGAAUAAGGAUCGGCUAACUCCGUGCCAGCAGCCGCGGUAAUACGGAGGAUCCAAGCGUUAUCCGGAAUCAUUGGGUUUAAAGGGUCCGUAGGUGGAUAAUUAAGUCAGAGGUGAAAGUCUGCAGCUCAACUGUAGAAUUGCCUUUGAUACUGGUUAUCUUGAAUUAUUAUGAAGUAGUUAGAAUAUGUAGUGUAGCGGUGAAAU